CUGAACCAGCCAAGUAGCGUGAAGGAUGAAGGUCCUACGGAUUGUAAACUUCUUUUAUACGGGAAUAAAGUAUCCUACGUGUAGGAUUUUGUAUGUACCGUAUGAAUAAGCGUCGGCUAACUCCGUGCCAGCAGCCGCGGUAAUACGGAGGAUGCGAGCGUUAUCCGGAUUUAUUGGGUUUAAAGGGAGCGCAGACGGGAGAUUAAGUCAGUUGUGAAAGUUUGCGG
rnacentral:rRNA from 1 species